CUGGGGGCAUGACUGUGCUGCUAAUUUAGUGCCCUCUGUUACCAGUGCAUUGUUACUCAUUUUUCCAUCCACAGAAGGAUGACAAGCUGUUAACAAUAACACAACUGGUGUUAAUUCAAUGGCUGGCAGGGGCUUAAACUCAAAACCCUAAGAUCUUCAGCCAGCCACCUUCACCGUGAAGCCAACACCAGGCUUUUGAGGACUCUGUUUUUCGUUUAUAUAUCUUUGAGCUCAACAAGUGCUACUCGAGGCCCACGUUUUGGUUAUGUCCAAUACCCCCCCCCCCAGCCUUCUGUCAUGAUUCAUAUGUAUUCCUUCAUCCUGUGUUCCGAUCUCUAUCAAUUCUGCAACAGACUUUCAGUCUGCUUUCUGCCAAACUUUGGAAGUAUUUGGAGAAGAUUCAGGAAUUUUAAAGACAACCAAAUUAUUUUUUCUUCCAUCCCUUUCAGCCAUCCCCUCUGUGGCGCGAUUUGAACGAUCUUCAUCCUGCUUCGAGAAUGUUUGUGAAAGCUCACCUCCAGUGAGGGAUAUGUUAUGAUGUUCAGACUUGGCAUGCCGUGCUUGGUUUACCAAGUGUACUUUUGUUACAUUCAGCAUAUAUUCACCCCAAUCUUUUCUCUCAAGACCCUUUGAAACCCAUUUCACCUUUUGCAGCACUGAGACCUCCAAGACCCUUUCGAUCCACUUCAUCACUUUCGAACCCUGAAAACCGUCAAAGGUGAAAUGGACAACUUCUUGGAAUGGCUCCAAUCACAAGGUCUGAGAGCAGAAACCGCCCAAGCAGUGAUCAAUGUGCUUGGAAUUGAGAAUCAGAAGGUUUUUCGAGCUUGUGCAGACUCCGAUUCAUUGCGAACAGAGCUCCUCUCCCUCACCAAAGAGAAAUUUAAAUUUGCAAUGUACGCUGACUUCUGCAAAUUUAUGAAAUCUUUUUUGAAGCCGCAGGUUGUCAAGCUUGCAGGAUCUUCUCUGUUGGGAAGUGUGUUCGUCAACUUAGACAAUGUUGUUCGAGAACUUUCCAGCUUCUGCCAAGAGUUUGUCAGAUUCCAAAACGUGCAGCUUGAAAAUGUUCCUGAUUUCCAUGGAAUCGGUUUCAGUGAUGUCUGUGAACUCCACUGUCAGGAUGAUGGAUUAACACCUAAGUCUGGUGAUGUCUCUCCUGUAAAUGUGAAAUCGAGACGACACUCUGGUUCAUCUUUCUCAGGAACUCGAAGAUAUUCUUCUGUAAAGGAAGAUUCAGAUGUUCAUUUGACAAAUGGCAGUCCUGUCUGUUCUGAAACAGAACAAUCAAGAAGUCCAUUUGGGCAGAGAAGAUCCAGGAGCCCCCCCCCCCCCCCCCCCCCCCCCCCCCCCCCCCCCCCCCCCCCCCCCCCCCCCCCCCCCCCC
rnacentral:lncRNA from 1 species